AGCGAACGCUGGCGGCAUGCUUAACACAUGCAAGUCGCACGGGCGGGGGCAACUCCGUCAGUGGCGGACGGGUGAGUAACGCGUAGGAAUCUAUCCUUGAAUGGGGGACAACCGUGGGAAACUACGGCUAAUACCGCAUGAUGCCUGAGGGCCAAAGACGAAAGUCGUUUGAGGAGGAGCCUGCGUCUGAUUAGGUAGUUGGUGGGGUAAAGGCCUACCCAAGCCUACGAUCAGUAGCUGGUCUGAGAGGAUGAUCAGCCACAUUGGGACUGAGACACGGCCCAAACUCCUACGGGAGGGCAGCAGUGGGGAAGUAUUGGACAAUGGGCGGACCAAGCCUGAUCCCAGCAAUGCCGCGUGGGUGAAGAAGGUCUUCGGGAUUGUAAAGCCCUUUUGGCGGGACGGAUGAUGACGGUACCCGCAGAAUAAGCCUCCGGCUAACUUCGUG
rnacentral:rRNA from 1 species